rnacentral:rRNA from 1 species
CACGUAGGGGGCGAGCGUUGUCCGGAUUCAUUGGGCGUAAAGAGCUCGUAGGCGGCUCAGUAAGUCGGGUGUGAAACCCUCAGGCUCAACCUGGGGACGCCACUCGAUACUGCUGUGGUUAGAGUCCAGUAGAGGAGUGUGGAAUUCCCGGUGUAGCGGUGAAAUGCGCAGAGAUCGGGAGGAACACCGGUGGCGAAGGCGGGUCUCUGGGCAUUCCCUGACGCUGAGGCGCGAAAGCGUGGGGAGCAAACGGG